rnacentral:rRNA from 1 species
AACGAACGCUGGCGGCAGGCUUAACACAUGCAAGUCGAACGCCCCGCAAGGGGAGUGGCAGACGGGUGAGUAACGCGUGGGAAUCUACCCAUCUCUACGGAACAACUCCGGGAAACUGGAGCUAAUACCGUAUACGCCCUACGGGGGAAAGAUUUAUCGGGGAUGGAUGAGCCCGCGUUGGAUUAGCUAGUUGGUGGGGUAAAGGCCUACCAAGGCGACGAUCCAUAGCUGGUCUGAGAGGAUGAUCAGCCACAUUGGGACUGAGACACGGCCCAAACUCCUACGGGAGGAAGCAGUGGGGAAUAUUGGACAAUGGGCGCAAGCCUGAUCCAGCCAUGCCGCGUGAGUGAUGAAGGUCUUAGGAUUGUAAAAUUCUUUUACCAGGGACGAUAAUGACGGUACCUGGAGAAAAAGCCCCGGCUAACUUCGUGCCAGCAGCCGCCGCCGUAA